AAUCCAUAGGUUAAUGAGGCGAACCGGGGGAACUGAAACAUCUAAGUACCCCGAGGAAAAGAAAUCAACCGAGAUUCCCCCAGUAGCGGCGAGCGAACGGGGAGGAGCCCAGAGCCUGAAUCAGCAUGUGUGUUAGUGGAAGCGUCUGGAAAGGCGCGCGAUACAGGGUGACAGCCCCGUACACAAAAGCGCAUGUGCUGUGAGCUCGAUGAGUAGGGCGGGACACGUGGUAUCCUGUCUGAAUAUGGGGGGACCAUCCUCCAAGGCUAAAUACUCCUGACUGACCGAUAGUGAACCAGUACCGUGAGGGAAAGGCGAAAAGAACCCCGGCGAGGGGAGUGAAAAAGAACCUGAAACCGUGUACGUACAAGCAGUGGGAGCACAGGUUUACCUGUGUGACUGCGUACCUUUUGUAUAAUGGGUCAGCGACUUAUAUUCUGUAGCAAGGUUAACCGUAUAGGGGAGCCGGAGGGAAACCGAGUCUUAACCGGGCGUUAAGUUGCAGGGUAUAGACCCGAAACCCGGUGAUCUAGCCAUGGGCAGGUUGAAGGUUGGGUAACACUAACUGGAGGACCGAACCGACUAAUGUUGAAAAAUUAGCGGAUGACCUGUGGCUGGGGGUGAAAGGCCAAUCAAACCGGGAGAUAGCUGGUUCUCCCCGAAAGCUAUUUAGGUAGCGCCUCGUGAACUCAUCUCCGGGGGUAGAGCACUGUUUCGGCUAGGGGGCCAUCCCGGCUUACCAACCCGAUGCAAACUGCGAAUACCGGAGAAUGUUAUCACGGGAGACACACGGCGGGUGCUAACGUCCGUCGUGAAGAGGGAAACAACCCAGACCGCCAGCUAAGGUCCCAAAGUCAUGGUUAAGUGGGAAACGAUGUGGGAAGGCCCAGACAGCCAGGAUGUUGGCUUAGAAGCAGCCAUCAUUUAAAGAAAGCGUAAUAGCUCACUGGUCGAGUCGGCCUGCGCGGAAGAUGUAACGGGGCUAAACCAUGCACCGAAGCUGCGGCAGCGACACUGUGUGUUGUUGGGUAGGGGAGCGUUCUGUAAGCCUGUGAAGGUGGCCUGUGAGGGUUGCUGGAGGUAUCAGAAGUGCGAAUGCUGACAUAAGUAACGAUAAAGCGGGUGAAAAGCCCGCUCGCCGGAAGACCAAGGGUUCCUGUCCAACGUUAAUCGGGGCAGGGUGAGUCGACCCCUAAGGCGAGGCCGAAAGGCGUAGUCGAUGGGAAACGGGUUAAUAUUCCCGUACUUGGUGUUACUGCGAAGGGGGGACGGAGAAGGCUAUGUUGGCCGGGCGACGGUUGUCCCGGUUUAAGCGUGUAGGUGUGUGUUCCAGGUAAAUCCGGUUCACUUUAACACUGAGGCGUGAUGACGAGGCACUACGGUGCUGAAGCAACAAAUGCCCUGCUUCCAGGAAAAGCCUCUAAGCAUCAGGUAACAC
rnacentral:rRNA from 1 species